UGUGAAUUCUUCUGGAGCUGAACAUGGAUCUUAUUCUCUGACCUUCCUGGGAAAGAAAGUAGGGAGACACCACUCUGUGGCCCCUGCAGGCAAGCAACGCGCAUGGGAGACAACUAACAGGUCUACCUGCCCUGAGGACCCCACGGGGUCCUUCAGACCUGGACAGGUCCCAGUGGCAGCGCAGGUGCUGGAGGAUUUACCAGGCAGCGUACCAGAGCUGACGGAAGAGAGGCCAAUAAUUCACAACACACAGUUUGACCAGUACAAUGAAAGCACAGCAGGUGUGUCUGGGAGGAAAGUAACCGCAUGACGACACACCCACAUUCCUGUAUGAGGAAACAAAGAGGGGAGAGGGUGGGAAGGGAAUGAACGAGAUAGAGAGUGAUGAAAUAUUCCACACUGAUGGAUUAACUUGAAAAUGAAAAUAAAUAGGAACUAACUGCCUAAUUAAUUAGCACAUUAAUACAAUUAUUGAAAUAAUCAACAUUUUGAGUGUAAUAUCCAUAAAUGUAAAGAGACAAUAAACUGCAUGCUAAGCACUCAUCCUAAAUAUGUAAAACGUGUUCUAAAUCUAAUCAAUAAAAUGUAAAUGGUUCCACUGAGAUUUAUGUGUUUCAUUUUAUUUUAAGACUGCAUCCACAAGUAAUGAAAUGAUAAUUGUACAUAAACAAGUACACCACACAGAUAAUUAUUUUGAUUGGAAAAACUGGCAAAGGGUUGAAUGACAAUAUUUUGACUUUAUUGUAUGAUUGUUUCAUUUGGUAUAUCCAGUUUUGAGAGUGAGCGGUUAAAAUCAGGAUUUGAGCACAGUAAAACCCAAUAAAUGAGUUUGCCGUCCAUCAGUACAGUAUUAUGAUUGUGUAAUUGCAGUUCUGUUACUGUAAAUGACUGAAACAGUUUUUCUCAGAGGAGUUUUUUAAACUGAAGAUGAAUCAUGAAAGAUGAACAUAACUAAAUAAUUGGGCGAUAGAAGAAUAUGUAUUACAAGACUUGUUGCUGCACUUACUCUUCUCCUCUUUCCCAUACCUGUUACUCCACUCCCCGAGCUGUUUCCAAAUGUUCCCCAACAUUUGUUCCGUUGUUCAAGCUGUCAUUCAUCACAAAACUCUGUGGAUGAAGAGGUGGGCUGCUUUCAGACGCUGGAUCGGUGCG